AAGGAAUCUUCUCCUCGAGAACAUGCUUCAUGGAGUGGUGGUCGGCAAGAUUGGUCUUUUUAAGGUUUUUUUUCUAGGUCGAAGGGUUUUGGGUGCAUAUAUAUGGAUAUUUUUUAUAGCUUUUUUCUUUCUUUUCUGGAACAUUAAUAUGAAAAUGUCAUCGCUACUCUACAAGAGAAAGGUCAUACUUCAAUAGUUAUUGUGAAUGAAUCUUCUCCUCGAGGACUUGCUUCAUAGAGUGGUGGUCGACGAGAUUGACCUUCUUAGGGUUUUCUUCUAGGUCAAAGGUUUCUGGGUGCAUAUCAUUAAUUUAUGUAUUUUUUUGUUUUGCAAUUGAUUGUGAAAAAGAUUUUUUUUUAAUUGUUGUCAUCGAAAAAUCGUUCUUACAACUUGAUCAAAUAAUAGCAUUCUAUGACAAAAAAAAAUAAAUUAAAAUAAAAAAAAUCAAGGAAUUGAGGUUGCCAAAGAGGUUUUCAUGAAAAAAGAAAAGAAGAAAAAAGAAAUCAAGCAAUUAAGUUCUGAAAUAGAUGUUUGCAUGCAAAAAGAAAAAAAAGAAAAGUAAAGUGUUGGAGGUCUAGAGGGCGAAUAAGAGGUAUAAUGAGUAAAUUAUUGAAAUAUAUAUGAAUAACAAACCUAAGGUUAUUUUAGGAAUUUAAAAGGAGAUCUAAUGAGCAAAUACUUGUUUUUAAAAAUAAAAAGGGAGGUGUAAAAAGACAGAGAGGUAUACUGAGCAAAUUUAGAGGUCCCAAUAGCCGCACUCAUAUGAUACCCAAAUUAGAAUAGAUCCAUAUACCAAGGCCAAGCUAGUCACUACCAGGACAAGCACUUUAGCCGACGCAAAAUUUUCGUCGGCCUGUUAGCUUAAUUCGUCGGCUAAGAUCUCGUUGGCUAAGAUUUCGUCGGGAAAAGGUCGUCUGUGAUGACUUUAGCCGACGAAAAAAAAAAUUUCGUCGGCUAUAGUCCCGCAGUUUAGCCGACGAAAAACAUGUAGUCGGUUUUUUUCCCAGACUUUAGCCGACGAAACAAUUAAGAUAUUCGUCGGAUAAAGUCUGUAAUAAAAAAAUUUUUCCCAGACUAUAGCCGACGAAAUAUAGUAUGUUUCGUCGGCUAAACCUUAUAAAAAAAUAACUAUAGCCGACGAAAUAUAGUCUGUUUCGUCGGCUAAACCUUAUAAAAAAAUUUUAAAAUAACUAUAGCCGACGAAAUAUGCCAUAAUUCGUCGGCUAAACCUUAUAAAAAAUUUAAAAAUACUAUAGCCGACGAAUAAACCUUUAAAUAUCGUCGGCUAAACCUUUAAAUAUCGUCGGCUAAAGUUGCUGGUUUUUGAAAAAAAAACUGCAGAAACUUUCGGCCACCUCCAAUCACCACCAAAAUUUAACAGAAUCUUCCUCUCAACAUUUCGAACAACUUUCUAGAAGAAGUCGAAGCCCAAUUCUAAGCCUAAACAAGUUAAUUGAAUCAAAAUAUAAAAAUCCCCAAUUUUAAACCCUAAAAACUUCUAAUCUUCGAUUCUCCUUACACACACCGAAUCGAGCUACCAAAUUCUAGGGGAAUGUAGUACUAAUCAAACUCAACUUAUCCAUAUAUAGAACUCACCAAAUGGUGACCUGAGGAAGGAGAAAUUCGAUCGACACCGAAUCCGAAACGGCGGAGUUUUGGAGCUCGAUUUAUCCCUCACGGCGGCGCCACUCGAUGCACCACCUGUCCAGCAAUGAAGUAGAGACGACGGCGAAGCUUUUGGGACAAGUGUGGCGGUCUCCGGUGGCUUGACGGCGGAGCUAGGCCGAGAAGAAAAUCUGGCAAGCAAAAUAGACUUCUUACCAUCCACCUGCGGUAAAACUCCUAUAUAAAGAACUUUAGCCGACGAAAUUCUUUAUUUUCUUUGGCUAAACUCUUUUGAAAAUUUUGGUUGACCGCAAAAAAAUUUUGAUUGAAAAUUUUCCUCCAAAUUUGGUUUACCGCCCAAAAAUUUUUGACCUUAGCCGACGAUUUUUUUAAUAUCUCGUCGGCUAAAGUCUAUAAAUUCACGAAAACGCUCAUAUCUCCCUCUAUAUUACGUAGUUUAGUCAAACAUUCCACACGAAAAACUUUCACGUAGAUGAGACGCAACCGCUUAUAUAAAAAUUUUGAGACAUUUACCUUCCGACGAUAGGGCUCCCCAUAGGGAAUAAUAACGGUAAAUAGGGUUGAUCGCUACUAUCGGCACCGAGACUUUACCCGAUUUAUGUGAUUUUUGAACCAUAGCCGUAUUUCACCAUUCUGAACACAUCUUAUUUCACGAGAUUUUUGAUAAUUUUGCUUCCUAUAUAGAGUUGGUUCACAAAAUUGUAUAACCUACUAAACAAGUUAUACAACAUUAGUAGACAUGUUGUGAUUCCGAUGACUAAAAUUCACAAACCAAAAUUCGACCGUCAGAUAUGAUCAUUAUGAUGAAAGAUGUCUAUGGUAAAAAAUUCAACUGGAUCUGACAACGUUAAGGACUCGAUCGAAACGGUCAACCCUAAUCCAUCGUCACUUAUCACACGAAAACGCUCAUAUCUCCCUCUAUAUUACGUGGUUUGGUCAAACCUUCCACACAAAAAACUCUCACAUAGAUGAGACGCAACUGCCCAUAUAAAAAUUUUGAGACAUUUACCUUCCGACGAUAGGGCUCCCCAUAAGGAAUAAUAACGGUAAAUAGUACACGUUGUGUUUCCGAUGACUAAAAUUUACAAACCAAAAUUCGACCGUCAGAUAUGAUCAUUAUGACGAAAGAUGUCUAUGGUAAAAAAUUCAACUGGAUUCGACAACGUUAAGGGCUCGAUCAAAACGGUCAACUCUAAUCAUAAAUAAGAAAACUGCAUUUUGAAGCCCUAAACGGACUCGGAUGGCCAAAAAGGCACAUACAUCAUGGCAAUAGCGAUGAGUUUGACUCGUAGGGACGUUACGCUUCCAGAAAGGUAUCACAAUAAUCAAUCGGACACCAAAAACCAAAUCUGCAGCAUAGUGAAUAAUAAGGGUAAAUUGCAUUGACCGCAACUAACGGCACCGAGAAUUUACCGGAAUACCGUGAUUUUUCAACUAUAGACGUAUUUCACCAUUCUGGUCAUAUCUUAUUUCACGACUUUUUUGCGUUUGAAGGUUCUACGUAUAGUUUUUUUUCCCAGAUGAGUUGUUGUCCAGAUCUGCAAAUAUAAGGCACUUUAGCCGACGAAAUUAUAUUUUUUGUCAGCUAAACUUUUAAAAAUUUCAUCGGCUAAAGUUCACAGACUAUAGCCGACGAAAAAAAUUAUUCAGACGACGAAAUUUUAAUUUCGUCGGCUAAAGUUGACCAUAGCCGACGAAAAUUUUUAAUUAGCCGACGAAGGAAAAUUUCGUCGGCCUGGUUUUUUUAUUUUCGUCGGCUAAAGUCUUUCUUCUGGUAGUGAGUAUUCUACUCAUCCCUAGCCCUCCAUUAAAACUGGAAAGAGGAAGAGGGCCAACGUUGAAACUUAAAAGCAAAUUUUAAAUCACAGGAACAAUGAUGAACUAACUUAGAAAUAAUUCGUCGGGAAAAUAAAGUGAUGAACUAAAUUGAGAAGACGAAGCAGGCUCUACGAAUUGAGAGUUCAGGGUUUAAACUGAAUCACUAAAUUGAGUCAUUUAUCUUAUCAAAGAUAUACUGAGUCAAGACCAUAAACUUCGAGACGAACCGGUUCGGGAUUAUCUGAAUUGAAAGUCUGAGACCGGUUUGGGAUUUUAGGGAAUGUUCUUCGUCUUUUGUAUUCUAAACGAAAUACAUUAAAACAAUCAAAACAUUUGACGGCUCAUAUCAGAAUCAUCAGAUAUAACCUAAAAUAGAUUUAAUUAUCAAAUGUGUCACGACACGACGGGCCUUAACGAAC
rnacentral:lncRNA from 1 species